UACGAAGGGGGCUAGCGUUGUUCGGAAUUACUGGGCGUAAAGGGCGCGCAGGCGGCCCUUCAAGUCAGAUGUGAAAGCCCCGGGCUCAACCCGGGAACGGCAUUUGAGACUGAAGGGCUUGAGUUCGGGAGAGGAGAGUGGAAUUCCCAGUGUAGAGGUGAAAUUCGUAGAUAUUGGGAAGAACACCGGUGGCGAAGGCGGCUCUCUGGACCGAUACUGACGCUGAGGCGCGAAAGCGUGGGGAGCAAACAGG
rnacentral:rRNA from 1 species